rnacentral:rRNA from 1 species
AGUGAACGCUGGCGGUAGGCCUAACCCCUGCCCGUCGAACGGCAGCACAGUAAGAGCUUGCUCUUACGGGUGGCGAGUGGCGGACGGGUGAGGCAUACAUCGGACUCUACUUUUUCGUGGGGGAUAACGUAGGGAAACUUACGCUAAUACCGCAUACGACCUACGGGUGACAGCAGGGGAUCUUCGGACCUUGCGCGAUUGCAUGAGCCGAUGUCGGAUUAGCUAGUUGGCGGGGUAAAGGCCCACCAAGGCGACGAUCCGUAGCUGGUCUGAGAGGAUGAUCAGCCACACUGGAACUGAGACACGGUCCAGACUCCUACGGGAGGCAGCAGUGGGGAAUAUUGGACAAUGGGCGCAAGCCUGAUCCAGCCAUACCGCGUGGGUGAAGAAGGCCUUCGGGUUGUAAAGCCCUUUUGUUGGGAAAGAAAAGCAGCAGGUUAAUACCCCGCUGUUCUGACGGUACCCAAAGAAUAAGCACCGGCUAACUUCGUG